rnacentral:rRNA from 1 species
UGCAUAUCCAAAGCGGAGGAAAAGAAACCAACAGGGAUUGCCUUAGUAACGGCGAGUGAAGCGGCAACAGCUCAAAUUUGAAAGCUGGCUCCUUCGGAGUCCGCAUUGUAAUUUGUAGAGGAUGAUUCGGCGAGGGCUCCCGCCUAAGUCCACUGGAACGUGGCGUCAUAGAGGGUGAGAAUCCCGUAUGCGGUGGGUUGCCUUAGCCAUGUGAAUCUCCUUCGACGAGUCGAGUUGUUUGGGAAUGCAGCUCUAAAUGGGAGGUAAAUUUCUUCUAAAGCUAAAUACCGGCCAGAGACCGAUAGCGCACAAGUAGAGUGAUCGAAAGAUGAAAAGCACUUUGGAAAGAGAGUUAAAAAGUACGUGAAAUUGUUGAAAGGGAAGGGCUUGCAACCAGACUUGUCCGCAGUUGCUCAGCCGGUCUCCUGACCGGCGUACUCUUCUGCGGCCAGGCCAGCAUCAGUUCGGGCGGUCGGAUAAAGACCUAGGGAAUGUAGCUCCUCUCGGGGAGUGUUAUAGCCCUGGGUGGAAUGCGGCCAGCCUGGACUGAGGAUCUCGCUUCGGCAAGGAUGCUGGCGUAAUGGUUGUAAGCCGCCCGUCUUGAAAAACGGACCCAA